rnacentral:tRNA from 1 species
GGCCGGAUAGUUCAGUGGUAGAAUACAUGCUUUGGGAUUCAAAUCAAAUUCUGUAUGUGGUCUUGGGUUCAAUCCCCAAUUCGGCCC